CGAACAGAGGAAGUGAACUCUGGUGAUUUUACAACUGUUAAAAUGCUAAUUCCGCUUCGAAAGAUGACAAACUUAACAAAGGAGUGACAUAAAUCCAAAAAAAGACAGUGCAGCCCAGGGAAAAGUAUCCAAGUGGACUAAAUCUACUCGGUGUGCUGUCUUCUACUCGGUGGUGCGCUUACUAUUUUAAAACACAGCUCUAAAUGCAGAAACAAAUUCUCCAACGAUGACAUAGCCUACACUUAGUUCAGAAUAGCUCUGCGAUAUGAAAAUAUUAUUUCUGUAAGGCAACAGCAAUUAUUUGUUUCCCCCAAAGGAUACCAGCCAUGAGACCAGUGCUGAGCGCUGGCAAACUGGGCACUUAGAAACAUCAACAUCCCCAUCACCACAAACAGCCUGCAGAUGUGCACCAUAACUGAGGGAAGAGAACAGAUUGAUGAGACAAACGGAGAGUAAGUGAGGGGCCAGUAACAACACUGACACGUUUAACAGUCAGGUCUAGGUUUACCAGCCUAACAAUUUCAGGAAAAAUGUUUGACUGAAAAGUAUGUUGGCAAUGAUGUUUAAGAGACAAUAAAGCACAAUGGAGACCGUAA